CGGCUUCUUUGUCCAAGCUAUCGUCACGGGCAAGGGACCACUUGAGAACCUCGCUGACCACAUCGCUGACCCCGUCAACAACAACGCCUGGGCAUUCGCCACCAACUUUGUCCCCGGCAAGUAAGAUGUCUUGGAGAUUGUUCACGCCACAAAGCGUGUUUGUUGUGCAGUCUGAGUUGUACUACCAUGAUGUAAAUUAUGAGAAUUUGUGCAAAAGCAAUGCAAGAUUUUUCUUGCUUGAAUGUCAUGACUUGCAUCGAUCUGAUCGUUGUGAUCACAAUCCACGAGAACAGAUAAAUAUUCCUGCUCGCGCUUAGUUAUCCAUUAUCAUUAUGUGCUCAGAUCAGCGACGCCUCAUAUGAUUGUGUAGGCUUGUCCGCUGGUGAAUUUGCGGGGUCAAUUCAGAGCAAAGGAAACGCUAAUAUAAAUUUUCAUAGAAGCUUCCGUCAAUACAACAAUCAGGACUAAUCUCAAUUCAAUUGCAAGGGGCAUGGUUUUCUUUCAUUUCUUAAUUUUCAACAAAAGUAGUGUGGCCAAUUAUACUGCAUUAGUGAUUUUUCAUAUCUCCCUCCCAGCCCAACCAAGUGGUAUGGCUUACUAGUGUGGUCUAAAGUGAGAAGGCAAUGUAAGGGUCGGGAAAUAGUCAAUUAUUCAAGGAUUGGGGUGCGAGAGGCGGUCGCCGCCGCUGAUAUUGUGGUGGAUGGCAAAGACUUGGAGGCGGAGAUGGGUGGGCGUCCACCUAUAGAUCAACACAUUUCUCUAUUGUGUCAUUUUUAUUAUAAAUCAAUUGAAAAAUUAUUGAUAUUCUUGUUAAAGCAGAGUAGAUAGAAUUAAAACAUACUUUUAUGCAAGAUAGCUAUUAAAAUAUUUUCAACAAAUAAACAAUUCACAAUAUAAUUGUUGUGCAUGAUCAUCACCCAAAGAACAUAGGGUGACCUGUGAAUCAACGACGUUAGAGAGCUGGGGAGCACGUGCUAAGAUUUUCUUUCUCGAGAGCUUCGACAUAUAUUUGUUCGUCAGGUUCCUGUCUAAUUUAAGAGCUAAAGAUAUAAAAAUCAAGCAUACAUAAUUAUAAGUGAAAAUUAUAAGCACGUAAAUGAAUUUGACUCAACAUUGAUGUUUUGAUGUACGUGAAUAUAUAUUGCAAUAUAGUGAAAUAAUUAUAUUAUGUGCGAUCAUACAUGCAAUUUAUAUAGUCAUCCAGGCUUGAAUAAAAACAAAGCUAUAAAAGUGUACAUUAUCCAUAAAUUUAAGGAAAUAACAACUUAAACUGCACUUGGGGGCUUAUGCACCCGACUGAGAAGUAAAUUUGAAAAACAUGAAAAUUAUCAUGCUGAAAAACAUUUGUGGAAGUCUGAAAAACCAUUACAAAAACGAUGUUCCAAAAAGGGCACUUUUUAAAGCACUUUGGAACACUGAUUUUUUUUCAGACCUCCACAGAUGUUUUUCCAUCACGAAACUUAUUUGCAUGUUAGUAAAACAUUCAAGAAUGCUCAUCACAAAAAAAUAAGUUUUAAAUUUGUUUACUAUUCUUUUCAAAAUUCAAUUUUCGCCUGGUGCAUAUGCACCCAGGAGCAGAGCGAACACCUCCGCUUAUUCUAACAUUUCUUUCAUGUAGAAGUAAUCGUAUCCAUCACUUUUUCCCCAAUUGAUUUACUACAAAUGGUGGAACAUUUUUUAAGGUUAAAUAAAUAGUCUUGUUUUUUUGUUACCAAACAGAACUUGUUUUAUUUCAGUAGCAUAAUGAGUCUCUACUUUAUUUACACUGAAAUAUAGAAUAUUCAAAUGUAAAUUGGAAUAAAUUUAUUUAUUUUUCAGAUGAAUGGUAAAUUAAGUUGGACCUACAUUUUUCAUUAUGUUAAAAAUGGAUAUAUCUAGCUUUAUAUGUGGAAUUUGGCGCAAUAAUGUGAUUUUCUAGAUGCAAUAAUGUGAUCUUUUACCACGAGCAGAUGUUACAUCCUAUUUUGAUUUUCUGAAAUCUAAAAGAUACGUGAGCGCAACAGCUCGCCGGAGUACGCGUGGUGCGACGCCUCGCGAUGCUUUAUGGUGCAUGCGAACGUCUCACUCACACACUUGACCGAAUCAGCUGUCUCCAACGAAAUCCAGUCACAGCCACUCCUGGCCACAAGUUCACAGCAAUACUCAUUUCUCCUGGCUCUCGCUGCGCCAAGUUUUGUGACAGCAAGAGAUCUAUGCGGCACCAAUGGCAGCAAAGCUCAAGAUUUUUCUCUCUAUCCUUGUUUAUCUGGUCAGAUUGCACACCAAAUGGAUUCCCUAUGACACCUCCUGCUGCCUUAAGUAGCCACCUCCCCCUCUUCUAUCAAAUCAUCUCCAUACUCACUCAUCUCUUUGAGAACCCAUACAGUUGACACUCAUCUUAGCUUUCCAAUGGCGGCAGCCACCAUGUCCCUCUCCUCCUCGACCUUUGCCGGCAAGGUGGUGACGAACGUUCCAUCUUUGGCUCUCUUUGGCGAGGCCCGAGUCACCAUGCGCAAGACCGCAACGAAGGUGAAGCAGGUUUCUUCUGGCAGCCCAUGGUACGGUGCUGACCGUGUGCUCUACCUCGGCCCACUCUCCGGUGAGCCCCCGAGCUACCUGACAGGUGAGUUCCCAGGUGACUAUGGGUGGGACACAGCCGGACUUUCGGCUGACCCCGAGACCUUCUCCAAGAACCGGGAGUUGGAGGUGAUCCACUGUCGUUGGGCCAUGCUUGGGGCACUUGGUUGCGUCUUCCCUGAGUUGCUCGCCCGCAACGGCGUCAAGUUCGGCGAGGCUGUUUGGUUCAAGGCCGGCUCCCAGAUCUUUAGUGAGGGUGGUCUCGACUACCUCGGCAACCCUAGCCUUGUGCACGCGCAAAGCAUCCUAGCUAUUUGGGCAUGCCAGGUCGUGCUCAUGGGUGCCGUUGAAGGGUACCGCGUCGCCGGUGGCCCACUCGGCGAGAUCGUCGACCCACUAUACCCAGGAGGCAGCUUCGACCCUCUCGGCCUAGCCGACGACCCCGAGGCAUUUGCUGAGCUCAAGGUGAAGGAGAUCAAGAACGGCCGCCUCGCCAUGUUCUCAAUGUUCGGCUUCUUUGUCCAAGCUAUCGUCACGGGCAAGGGCCCACUUGAGAACCUCGCUGACCACAUUGCUGACCCCGUCAACAAUAACGCAUGGGCAUUCGCCACCAACUUUGUCCCCGGCAAGUAAGAUGUCUUGAAGAUUGUGCACGCCCCAAAGCGUAUUGGUGUGCAAUCUGAGUUGUACUACCAUGAUGUAAAUUACGAGAAUUUUGUGCAAAAGCAAUGCAAGAUUUUUCCGUCUUGAAUGUUGUGAUUUGCAUCGAAAUGAUCAUCGUGCUUGCAAUCCACGAGAACAGGUAAAUAUUUCGGCUCGAGCUUAGCUAACCAUUAUCAUUAUGUGCUCGGAUCAACGGCGGCUCAUAUGAUUGUGUAGGCUAUUGACGCUGGUGGAUUUGUGGGGUCAGAGCAAACACUAAUAUAAACUUUCAUGGAAGCUUCCAUCAAAACAAUAAUCGGGAACGAUCUCAAUUCAAUUGCAGGGGUCAUGUCUUGCUUUCGUUUCUUAAUUUCCAACAAAGGUUGUGUGGCCAAUUAUACCUCAUUAGUGAUUUUUCAUAUCUCCCUCCCAGCCCAACCAAGUGGUUUGGUUUACCACUAUCGGUCUAGGGCAUUGUUAUCUAAAGUGAGCAAGUAAUGUAACCGUCGAGAAAUAGUCAAUUUAGUUGAGGAGGGGCUGCGAGAGGCGGUCGUUGACGCUGAUAUUGCGGUGGGUGGCAAAGAACUGGAGGUAGAGAUGGGUGGGCAACACUUGUCUCUGUUUUGUGUCAUUUUUAUUAUAAACCAAUUAAAAAUUAUUGCUAUUCUUCUUAAAGCAUAUAAGAGUAGAUAUACAAUAAAAUAUACUUUUAUAAAAGAUAGCUAUUAAAAUAUUGUGAAUAACUAAGGUUUUAUUACACAAUAUAAUUGUUGUACAUGAUCAUCACCAAAACACAAAAGAUAGGGUGACCGGUGACAUGAGAAUCAACGACGUUAGAGAGAUGGGGAUCACGUGCUAAGAUUUUCUUUCUUGAGAUCUUUGACUUAUAAUUUUUUUUAUGAGAUUCCUGCCCUAAUUUAAGAGCUACACAUAUACAAAUCAAACAUACAUAAUUAUAAGUGAGAAUUAUAAGCACGUUGAUGAAUUUGACUUAACAUUGAUGUUUUGAAGUAUGUGAAUAUAUUGCAAUAUAGUGAAACAAUAAUAUUAUGUGCGAUGACACAUGCAAUUUAUAUAGUUCUCUAGGCUCAAAUAAAAAUAAAAGCAUACGUUAUCCCAGAAUGGGAAAUAACAACUUAAACUGCACUUGGGUGCAUAUGCACCAGGCUGAACAGUAAAUUUGGAAAGAAAAAAUAGGAAACAAUUUCAACAGAAAUCUGAACUUUUUUAGACAAAGAUUGCUGAAUGUGUUUACCAAUAUGAAAAAAUUUGUGCUGAAAAUCAUUCGUGAGGUCUGAAAAAAAAUGAUAUUCCAAAAAAGGGCAUCUUUUAAGCACUUUGGAACACUGGUUUUUUUUUUCAGGCCUCCUCGGAUGUUUUUCCAUCACGAAACUUGUUUGCUUGUUAGUAAACCAUUCAAGAAUGUUUAUCACAAAAAAAAUGUUUACUAGUUUUUCAAAAUUUGCUAUUCAUCCUGGGUGCAUAUGCACCCAGCAGAAGAUCGAACACUUCUGCUUAAACUAACAUUUUUUCGUGUAGAAAUAACCUUCUCCAUCAUUUUUCCAAUUUAUGUGGUAAUGUUACACACUUUGAAUUAUUUUUGUUCAAUAUUUAGUACGAAUGGAGGCACAUUUUAUUAAGGUUAAAUUACUAAUCUUUUUUUACCAAGCAUAACUUGUUUCAUUUCAUUAGCUGUAUAAUAUAUAGAAAAAAGCAGUAUAAUAAGUCUAUAAAAUAUAUAGAAUAUUCAGAUGUAAAUUGGAAUAAAUUGAUUUUAUUUGUCAGUUGGAAGGUAAAUUAAGAUGGACCUAUAUUUUUCAUUAUGGUAGAAAUGGAUAUAUCUAGCUUUAUGUAUGGCAUUUGGCUCAAUAAUGUGAUAUUUUACCAAGAGGAGAUGGUACAUUCUAUUUUGAUUUUCUGAAAUCUAAAAGAUACAUGAGCGCAACGGCUCGCCGGAGUGGUGCAUGCGAACCAUGCAGGUCUCACUCACACAUGCACAUAGAUCCAAUCAGCUGUCUCCAAGGAAAUCCAUUCACAACCACUCCUGGUCACAAGUUCACAGCAUACUCAUUUCUCCUGGCUCUCACUGCGCCAAGUGUCCUGAGAGCAAGAGAUAAAUGCAGCACCAAUGGCAGCAAAGCUCAAGAUUUUUCUCUCUAUCCUUGUUUAUCUUGUCAGAUUACACACCAAAUGGAUUCCAUGUGACACCUCCUUCUGCCUUAAGUAGCCACCUCCCCCUCUUCUAUCAAGUCAUCUCCACACUCACUCAUCUCUUAGAGAACCCAUACAGCACAGCGGACACUUUUCUUAGCUUUCCAAUGGCGGCAGCCACCAUGUCCCUCUCCUCCUCGACCUUUGCCGGCAAGGCGGUGAAGAAUGUACCAUCUUUAGCUCUCUUUGGCGAGGCCCGAGUCACCAUGCGCAAGACCGCUGCAAAGGCGAAGCAGGUUUCCUCCGGCAGCCCAUGGUACGGUGCCGACCGUGUGCUCUACCUCGGCCCACUCUCCGGUGAGCCCCCGAGCUACCUGACCGGUGAGUUUCCUGGCGACUAUGGGUGGGACACUGCCGGGCUUUCUGCUGACCCCGAGACUUUCGCCAAGAACCGGGAGCUGGAGGUGAUCCAUUGCCGCUGGGCCAUGCUCGGGGCACUUGGUUGUGUCUUCCCUGAGUUGCUCGCCCGCAACGGCGUCAACUUCGGUGAGGCUGUUUGGUUCAAGGCGGGCUCUCAAAUAUUUAGUGAGGGUGGUCUCGACUACCUCGGCAACCCCAGCCUCAUCCACGCACAAAGCAUCCUUGCUAUUUGGGCAUGCCAGGUCGUGCUCAUGGGUGCCGUCGAGGGGUAUCGCGUUGCUGGCGGCCCACUCGGUGAGAUCGUCGACCCACUCUACCCAGGCGGCAGCUUCGACCCUCUUGGCUUGGCCGAAGACCCCGAGGCAUUCGCCGAGCUCAAGGUGAAGGAGAUCAAGAACGGUCGCCUUGCCAUGUUCUCAAUGUUUGGCUUCUUUGUCCAAGCUAUCGUCACGGGCAAAGGCCCACUUGAGAACCUCGCGGACCACAUCGCCGACCCCGUCAACAACAAUGCAUGGGCAUUUGCCACCAACUUUGUCCCCGGCAAGUAAGGUGUCUUGGGACUAAGCUCGCCAUGAGGCGUAUUAUCUUGUGGUCUGAGUUGUACUAUCAUGAUGUAAAUUAAGAGAAUUUUGUGCAAAAGCACGGCUUGAGUUGUCCACUUCCAUGUCGUGCCUUGCAUCGGUCCGAUCAUUUUGUUGUGAUAUCAUGGUUCAUGAGAGCAGAUAAAUACCCCCUCUUCCAUAAUAUAAUAUCGUUUUUGACACUAGUGUAACUUCUGUGUGCACUUACUUAACUGUUACCAUGUUGGUGGAAGACACAUUUAAAACUGAUUCCCAUAUUUAAAAGAGUGGCAACAUGUAAACCAGGCUCUAGUGAUUCUUUGCUGCUUUGACUGGAAAAUUGGUCUGACCAACCUUUACAACAACUUUAUCCUGAGCUUUCCUCCUAUGCCACUAACUUGUUCCUUCGAGUGCAGCUUCGCAAUUGCAUGAUCUAGCAGACAAGUUUCAUAGACCUAUUUCUGCUCCGGCUCACUCUCAGUUCAUCCACUUGCAAGAGAAUAUUACUGCACGUCAGGCUCAGGGAGAUGCUGAUCAAUGGAACUAUUCAUGGAAUUCUGCCACUUGCUCCUCCAAGAAGAUGUACAAUAUUCUUAUGGUGAGUUUCAAGCCUGUCCACAUUUUAUCUGGCUUUGGAAGAGUACCUGUCAACUCAAACAAAAAUAAAUUGUUGGCUACUACUUUAUGAGAGAGCUAACACCAGAAAUCUGGUGCAGAGGAAAACAUUUUGUCUUCCCCCUUACAGUUGUGUCCUUUUUCCAUGAGCAAACAGACUGAAGAAACUCAGCUUGAUCUCUUCUGGGACUGCAGUUUUUGCCGGGCAUGCUGAAAUGCUUUUAUACCUCACAAGCUCAUCUUGAUCUCAACCUUUAUGAAAUUAAGCUUGCAAGAAUAACCAUUAACGCUCCAUUUAGCAUGGACAUAGUCAUUCCAUGCUGUUGGAAGAUAUGGAAGAUCGGAAAUGUUAAAAUAUACGUACCUCCUCCUUUUCUAAAAAAAGAACUAAGAGGCUUUCUAUGGGAAGAUCGCUUAGAAGUUUCAGCUAAGAUAUUACUCUGGUUAUCCAUGGGGUAAAGAGAAAACACUCGGAUAAUUUUCUUUCUUGGAUAGAAAAUAAUUUGUAAACAUUCCCCUUCCCUCUUCUGUAUAUAGUCCCUUGUAAAUAUGUGUAUUAACAUAGUUACACAGUAGAAUCCUUUCCUACUGUUUUCCAGUAAAAGAACAUAUAUAAUGUGUUCAGACGAGAGACAGCUUACAUGAUUGUGUACGCCGGUGAAUCCAUGGGGGGCGAGCGAGGGAAAUGCUAGUAUACAUUUUUCAUUGAAGCUGGCUAUUACGUGCUAUUCUUCAGGCUUUCCAUCAAGGCAACCAUCACGAAUGAUCUCAAUCCAUCCCGCUCGAUUGCAAGGGCCAUGGUUUUCUUUCAUUUCUGAAUGUGCAACAAAACAGAGUGUGGCCAAUUAUACUGCAUCAGUGAUUUUUCAGGUCUCUCUGCACUUUCACGUUAUGAUUUGGACAAUUCAGAGACAGAUAGGCGUUGAUCGAAUAUUCAAGAAUGGCCGUUGGCUAUGAGACUGCAGCAAACAGCAUGCACGUGCGUGUGAUCUGAAUUGUACUACUACCAUUCAUGUGAAGUACAAAUGACCAUGUGCCAAAGCAUUGCCCACUGCAGAUUUGCCUCCCUCUGCUCCCAAUUUUUCACACCUGGCCUGAAGCACCCAUUGCUAUUACUCCUAAGAUGAUUGCAAAAGGAGGUCUAGUACAUGAAUCCAAAGUAAGCCCGGUCCAAACUUGACGACUGAAACAUCGUUGCGUCCUAUGUGGUCAUCCCCGUGUUCCAUUACCAUGUCACAAUCAGCACCGACUCGACUGAUCUUGCGCUGCCCCUAAACCAAUCAGGCUAUCAGCAUCGCCACGAUGCCACACCUACCUCUAAGUUAGUUUAAAUUUCUUUCAGAAAAUGUCUAUCAACUAGGAACUACCAGGUGACUAUUCUUUAACAAAAAAAAAAAUUGAAUCCUGCACGCCUGUGGGACGCUUUUCACAAUAUCCAACUCCAGUUCGAGAUGCAGGAUGUCUAGGCUUGCUCUGGAUAUUAUGUUGUUGCAGAGACUGGGUGUAAUUGGUAUCAUCUUGAUAUUAAUAUAUUCCCUACAGUAUUCUCUGUGAAGGAGUCAUUUGGUAUCCAACUGCAAGGGCCAUUUGGUAAUGUUACACACUUUGAUUUAUUUAUUUAUUUUUGUUCAAAGAUUUACUACGAAUGGGGGAACAUUUUCUUUUAAGGUUAAAUUAAUAGUUUUUUUAUUUAGCCAGACAUAACUUGUUUUAUUUCAGUAGCAGCAUAAUUAGUCUCUACGUUAAACUAAAAUAUAUAGAAUAUUCAGAUGUAAAUUGGAAUAAAUUGAUUUUAUUUGUCAGUUGAAUGGCAAAUUAAGAUGGACCUACAUUUUUCUUUGUGCUAAAAAAUGGAUAUAUCUAGCUUUAUGUAUGGCAUUUGGCUCAAUAAUGUGAUGCCGCGCGAACCAUGCAGGUCUCACUCACACAUGCACUUAGAUCCAAUCAGCUGUCUCCAAGGAAAUCCAGUCACAGCCACUCCUGGACACAAGUUCACAGCAAUACUCAUUUCUCCUGGCUCUCACUGCGCCAAGUGUUAUGAGAGCAAGAGAUCUAUGCAGCGCCAAUGGCAGCAAAGCUCAAGAUUUUUCUCUCUAUCCUUGUUUAUCUUGUCAGAUUACACACCAAAUGGAUUCCCUAUGACACCUCCUGCUGCCUUAAGUAGCCACCUCCCCAUCUUCUAUCAAAUCAUCUCCACACCCUCUAAUCUCUUUGAGAACCCAUACAGCACAGCGGACACUUUUCUUAUCUUUCCAAUGGCGGCAGCCACCAUGUCCCUUUCCUCAUCGACCUUCGCCGGCAAGGCGCUGAAGAAUGUACCAUCUUUGGCUGUCUUUGGUGAGGCGAGAGUCACCAUGCGCAAGACCGUAGCAAAGGCGAAGCAGGUUUCUUCCGGCAGCCCAUGGUACGGUGCUGACCGUGUGCUUUACCUCGGCCCACUCUCCGGUGAGCCCCCAAGCUAUCUGACAGGUGAGUUCCCAGGUGACUAUGGGUGGGACACAGCCGGACUUUCAGCUGACCCUGAGACCUUCUCCAAGAACCGGGAGUUGGAGGUGAUCCACUGUCGUUGGGCCAUGCUUGGGGCACUUGGUUGCGUCUUCCCUGAGUUGCUCGCCCGCAAUGGCGUUAAGUUCGGUGAGGCUGUUUGGUUCAAGGCCGGCUCUCAAAUCUUUAGUGAGGGUGGUCUUGACUACCUUGGCAACCCCAGCCUUGUCCACGCACAAAGCAUCCUGGCUAUUUGGGCAUGUCAGGUCGUGCUCAUGGGUGCCGUCGAGGGGUACCGCGUUGCCGGCGGCCCACUCGGUGAGAUCGUCGACCCACUCUACCCAGGCGGCAGCUUCGACCCUCUUGGCUUGGCCGAAGACCCUGAGGCAUUCGCCGAGCUCAAGGUGAAGGAGAUCAAGAACGGUCGCCUUGCCAUGUUCUCAAUGUUUGGCUUCUUUGUCCAAGCUAUCGUCACGGGCAAGGGCCCACUUGAGAACCUCGCUGACCACAUCACCGACCCCGUCAACAACAAUGCAUGGGCAUUCGCCACCAACUUUGUCCCCGGCAAGUAAGGUGUCUCAGGAGUCAAGACUCUGCUCGCCAUGAGGCGUGUUGUCAUGUGGUCUGAGUUGUACUAUCAUGAUGUAAAUUAUGAGAAUUUUGUGCUAAAUCACGGUUCGAUUUGUCCACUUCCAUGUUGCUCCUUGCGUCGGUCUGACCAUUUUGUUGUGAUCAUGGUUCACCAGAACAGAUAAAUACUUCUGUGUGCGCUUACUUAACUAUUACCAUAUUGGUGGAAGACACAUUUCAACUGAUUCCCCUAUUUAAAAGUGUGGCAACAUGUAAACCAGGCUCUGGUCAUUCAUCCUGAGCUUUGCUCCUACGCCACCAACUUGAAUAUCCUUUGAGUGCAGUUUUGCAACUGCAUGAUCUACAGACAAGUUUCAUAGAACUAUUUCUGCUCAGGCUCACUCUCAGUUCAUCCAAAUGCAAGAGAAUAUUACUGCACUUCAGGCUCAGGGAGAUACUGAUCAAUGGAACUAUUCAUGGAAUUCUGCCAAUUACUCCUCCAAAAAGAUGCACAAUAUUCUUAUGGUGAGUUUCAAGCCUGUGCACAUAUUAUCUAUCUAGCUUUGGAAGAGUGUCUGUCAACUCAAACAAACAAACAAAAUUGUUGGCUACUACUUUAGCUAACUCCAGAGAUCUGGUGCAGAGGAAAACAUUUUGUCUUCCCCCUUACAGCUGUGUCAUUUUCCAUGAACAACCUGAAGAAACUCAGCUUCAUCUAUUCUCGGACUGCAGUUUUUCUCGGGCAUGCUGAAAUGCUUUUAUACCUCACAAGCUCAUCUUGAUCUCAACCUUUAUGAAAUUAAGCUUGCAAGAAUAACCAUUAACGCUCCAUUUAGCAUGGACAUAGUCAUUCUAUGCUGUUGGAAUAUAUGGAAGAUCGGAAAUGCUAAAAUAUUCAGAACUAAGAGACUUUCUAUGGGAAGAUGGCUUAGAAGUUUCAGCUAAGAUAUUACUCCCUCUGUAAAUAAAUAUAAGAGCGUUUAGAUCACUACUUUAGUGAUCUAAACUCUUAUAUUUCUUUACGGUACUUUAGUGAUCUAAACUCUCUUAUAUUUCUUUACGGAGGGAGUACUACGGUUAUCCAUGGGGUAAAGAGAAAACACUAGGAUAAUUUUCUUUCUUGGAUAGAGAAUGUUUUGUGAUCUUUCCCCUUCCCUCUUCUGUAUAUACUCCCUUGUAAAUAUUUUUAUUAAUACAAUUACAUAGUAGGAUCCUUUCUUACUGUUAUCCAGUAAUAUAUAUAUAUAUAUAUAUAUAUAUAUAUAUAUAUAUGAUGUGUUCAGACAAGAGACAACAUAUAUGACCAUGUACGCCGGUGAAUCUACGGGGCCCGAGCGAAGGAAACGCUGGUAUACAUUUUUCAUCGAAGCUGGCUAUUUUGUGCUUAUUCUUCACGCUUUCCAUCAAGGCAACCAUCACGAAUGAUCUCAAUCCAUCCCGCUCGAUUGUAGGACUCUCUGCGCUUUUACGUUAUGAUUUGGACAAUUCAGAGACAGAUAGGCAUUGAUCUAAUAUUCAAGAAUGGCCGUUGGCUAACUGCAGCGAACAGCACGCACGUGUGUGUGGUUUGAACUGCACUACCAUUCAUGUGAAGUACAAAGGACCAUGUGCCAAAGCAUUCCCACUGCAGAUUUGCCUCCCUCUGCUCCCAAUUUUUCAGUUUUCACACCUGGCCCGAGGCACCCAUUUGUUAGUUACUCCUAGGAUGAAUGCAAAAGAAGGUCUAGUAUAUGAAUCCAAAUUAAGCCCUGUCCAAACCUGACGACUGAAACAUCGUUGCGUCCUAUGUGAUUAUCCCCAUGUUCCAUUACCAUGUCGCAAUCACCACCGACACGCCUGCUGCUGCGCUGCCCCUAAACCAAACAGGCUAUCACCAUCACCAUGUGUGAUGCCGCACCUACCUCUAAGUUAGUUUAAAUUUCUUUCAGAAAAUGUCUAUCAACUAAGAACUACUACCAAGUUCCUAGAUUUUUUUUAAUUCUUAUUCGUGCACCUGUGGGACGCUGUUCACAAUAUCCAACUCCAGUCCGAGAUGCAGGCUGAGAUGGAGUUCUUGGAGGCUUGGUGGUUCCCAUUCCAGGAAGCAACUCCCAAAGGCCAAAGCGCAAAGGUUUCAGCUCAAUGGCCAUGUUAACCUGCUGGUGUCUAGAAGCAAAAGGACGCUAGAGUGUUUGCCAAUACUAGUCAACAGCUCAGUGGAACUGAACUUUGCCCCUUCAUGUUUAUGAACUGCAUCAAUGGGUGCUGCCUUUUGGAACUGAAUCCUCUAACAUUAAGGAAAGUUAGAGAAGAUACAAUACCCUAUCUUUCCUUCUUUCAAUCCAUAUGAUUAAGGCUAAAAUGAUUUAAAUUAAUUUGCAAGUUACAGAUUUAAUGUAUACAUUCAUAAUCAUUACAUAGAAACACUUUCUUUUAAGGUUAUAAUAAAUUAAUAGUCAUGUUUUUUUCUUAUCAAACAUAACCUGUUUUAUUUAUUAGCAGUAUAAUGAGUCCCUACUUUAAACUAAAAUAUAUAGAAUAUUCAGAUGUAAAUUGGAAUAAAUGGAUUUUAUUUGACAGUUAAAUGGAAAAUUAAGAUGGACCUACAUUUUUCAUUAUGGUAAACAAAUGGAUAUAUCUAGCUUUAUGUAUGGAAUUUGGCUCAAUAAUGUGAUCUUUUACCGCAUGGAGAUGGUACAUCCUAUUUAGAUUUUCUGAAAUCUAAAAGAUACAUGAGCGCGACAGCUCGCCGGAGUGCACACGGUGUGACGCCGCGCGAUGCUUUCUGGUGCAUGUGAACCAUGAAGGUCUCACUCAUAGACUUGAUCCAAUCAGCUGCCUCCAAGGAAAUCCAGUCACAUCCACUCCUGGACACAAGUUCACAGCCAUACUCAUUUCUCCUGGCUCUCAUUACGCCAAGUGUUCUGAGAACCAGAGAUCUAUGCAGCACCAAUAGCAGCAAAGCACAAGAUUUUUUUCUCUAUCCUUGUUUAUCUUUACACACCAAAUGGAUUCCCUAUGAAGCCUCCUGCUGCCUUAAGUAGCCACCACCCCCUCUUCUAUCAAAUCAUCUCUUUGGGAACCCAUACAGCACAGCAGACACUUUUCUUAGCUUUCCAAUGGCGGCAGCCAUCAUGUCCCUCUCCUCCUCGACCUUUGCCGGCAAGGCGGUGAAGAAUGUACCAUCUUUGGCUCUCUUUGGAGAGGCCCGAGUCACAAUGCGCAAGACUGCAGCGAAGGUGAAGCAGGUUUCCUUUGGCAGCCCAUGGUACGGUGCCGACCGUGUGCUCUACCUCGGCCCACUCUCUGGUGAGCCCCCGAGCUACCUCACUGGUGAGUUCCCAGGCGACUAUGGGUGGGACACUGCCGGACUUUCAGCUGACCCCGAGACCUUCGCCAAGAACCGGGAGCUGGAGGUGAUCCAUUGCCGCUGGGCCAUGCUCGGGGCACUUGGUUGUGUCUUCCCUGAGUUGCUCGCCCACAACGGCGUCAACUUCGGUGAGGCUGUUUGGUUCAAGGCCGGCUCUCAAAUCUUUAGUGAGGGUGGUCUUGAUUACCUCGGCAACCCCAGCCUCGUCCACGCACAAAGCAUCCUUGCUAUUUGGGCAUGCCAGGUUGUGCUCAUGGGUGCCGUCGAGGGGUACCGCGUUGCCGGUGGCCCACUGAGUGAGAUCGUCGACCCACUCUACCCAGGCGGCAGCUUCGACCCUCUUGGGUUGGCUGACGACCCUGAGGCAUUCGCCGAGCUCAAGGUGAAGGAGAUCAAGAACGGUCGCCUUGCCAUGUUCUCAAUGUUCGGCUUCUUUGUCCAAGCUAUCGUCACGGGCAAGGGCCCACUCGAGAACCUCGCUGACCACAUCGCCGACCCCGUCAACAACAAUGCAUGGGCAUUUGCCACCAACUUUGUCCCCGGCAAGUAAGGUGUCUUGAGACUGUGCUCGCCAUGAGGCGCGUUGUCCUGUGGCCUGAGUUGUACUAUCAUAAUGUAAAGUACGAGAAUUUUGUGCAAAAGAAUGGUUCGAUUUGUCCACUUCCAUGGCAUGCCUUGCAUCGGUCUGACCAUUUUGUUGUGAUCAUGGUUCACGAGAACAGAUAAAUACUUCUGUGUGUGCUUGCUUAACUAUUACCAUAUUGGUGGAAGACACAUUUCAACUGAUUCCCCUAUUUAAAAGAGUGGCAACAUGUAAACCAGGCUCUGGUGAUUCAUCCUGAGCUUUGCUCCUAUGCCACC
rnacentral:lncRNA from 1 species